GGCGUGCUUAACACAUGCAAGUCGAACGGUGAAGCAGAGCUUGCUCUGUGGAUCAGUGGCGAACGGGUGAGUAACACGUGAGCAAUCUGCCCCUGACUCUGGGAUAAGCGCUGGAAACGGCGUCUAAUACCGGAUACGAGCUGCGACCGCAUGGUCAGUAGCUGGAAAGAAUUUCGGUCAGGGAUGAGCUCGCGGCCUAUCAGCUUGUUGGUGAGGUAAUGGCUCACCAAGGCGUCGACGGGUAGCCGGCCUGAGAGGGUGACCGGCCACACUGGGACUGAGACACGGCCCAGACUCCUACGGGAGGCAGCAGUGGGGAAUAUUGCACAAUGGGCGCAAGCCUGAUGCAGCAACGCCGCGUGAGGGAUGACGGCCUUCGGGUUGUAAACCUCUUUUAGCAGGGAAGAAGCGAAAGUGACGGUACCUGCAGAAAAAGCGCCGGCUAACUACGUGCCAGCAGCCGCGGUAAUACGUAGGGCGCAAGCGUUAUCCGGAAUUAUUGGGCGUAAAGAGCUCGUAGGCGGUCUGUCGCGUCUGCUGUGAAAACCCGAGGCUCAACCUCGGGCCUGCAGUGGGUACGGGCAGACUAGAGUGCGGUAGGGGAGAUUGGAAUUCCUGGUGUAGCGGUGGAAUGCGCAGAUAUCAGGAGGAACACCGAUGGCGAAGGCAGAUCUCUGGGCCGUAACUGACGCUGAGGAGCGAAAGGGUGGGGAGCAAACAGGCUUAGAUACCCUGGUAGUCCACCCCGUAAACGUUGGG
rnacentral:rRNA from 1 species